rnacentral:rRNA from 1 species
UCAGGAUGAACGCCGGCGGUGUGCCUAAUACAUGCAAGUCGUACGCACUGGCCCAACUGAUUGAUGGUGCUUGCACCUGAUUGACGAUGGAUUACCAGUGAGUGGCGGACGGGUGAGUAACACGUAGGUAACCUGCCCCGGAGCGGGGGAUAACAUUUGGAAACAGAUGCUAAUACCGCAUAACAACAAAAGCCACAUGGCUUUUGUUUGAAAGAUGGCUUUGGCUAUCACUCUGGGAUGGACCUGCGGUGCAUUAGCUAGUUGGUAAGGUAACGGCUUACCAAGGCGAUGAUGCAUAGCCGAGUUGAGAGACUGAUCGGCCACAAUGGAACUGAGACACGGUCCAUACUCCUACGGGAGGCAGCAGUAGGGAAUCUUCCACAAUGGGCGCAAGCCUGAUGGAGCAACACCGCGUGAGUGAAGAAGGGUUUCGGCUCGUAAAGCUCUGUUGUUGGAGAAGAACGUGCGUGAGAGUAACUGUUCACGCAGUGACGGUAUCCAACCAGAAAGUCACGGCUAACUACGUGCCAGCAGCCGCGGUAAUACGUAGGUGGCAAGCGUUAUCCGGAUUUAUUGGGCGUAAAGCGAGCGCAGGCGGUUGCUUAGGUCUGAUGUGAAAGCCUUCGGCUUAACCGAAGAAGUGCAUCGGAAACCGGGCGACUUGAGUGCAGAAGAGGACAGUGGAACUCCAUGUGUAGCGGUGGAAUGCGUAGAUAUAUGGAAGAACACCAGUGGCGAAGGCGGCUGUCUGGUCUGCAACUGACGCUGAGGCUCGAAAGCAUGGGUAGCGAACAGAAGUAGAUACCCUGGUAGUCCAUGCCGUAAACGAUGCCUUAAAGGGGUUGGAGGGUUUCCGCCUUUCAGUGCCGGAGGUAACGCAUUAAGCACUCCGCCUGGGGAGUACGACCGCAAGGUUGAAACUCAAAGGAAUUGACGGGGGCCCGCACAAGCGGUGGAGCAGGUGGUUUAAUUCGAAGCUACGCGAAGAACCUUACCAGGUCUUGACAUCUUGCGCUAACCUUAGAGAUAAGGCGUUCCCUUCGGGGACGCAAUGACGGGUGGUGCAUGGUCGUCGUCAGCUCGUGUCGUGAGAUGUUGGGUUAAGUCCCGCAACGAGCGCAACCCUUGUUACUAGUUGCCAGCAUUAAGUUGGGCACUCUAGUGAGACUGCCGGUGACAAACCGGAGGAAGGUGGGGACGACGUCAGAUCAUCAUGCCCCUUAUGACCUGGGCUACACACGUGCUACAAUGGACGGUACAACGAGUCGCAAGCUCGCGAGAGUAAGCUAAUCUCUUAAAGCCGUUCUCAGUUCGGACUGUAGGCUGCAACUCGCCUACACGAAGUCGGAAUCGCUAGUAAUCGCGGAUCAGCAUGCCGCGGUGAAUACGUUCCCGGGCCUUGUACACACCGCCCGUCACACCAUGGGAGUUUGUAACGCCCAAAGUCGGUGGCCUAACCUUUAUGGAGGGAGCCGCCUAAGGCGGGACAGA